UUUCCGUAGGUGAACCUGCGGAAGGAUCAUUACAGAGUUCAUGCCCUCACGGGUAGAUCUCCCACCCUUGAAUAUUUAUACCUUAGUUGCUUUGGCAGGCCGUGGAAACACCAUGGGCUCCGGCUUAAGCGUGCCUACCAGAGGAAACAAACUCUGUUUUUAGUGAUGUCUGAGUACUAUAUAAUAGUUAAAACUUUCAACAACGGAUCUCUUGGUUCUG
rnacentral:misc_RNA from 1 species